GAUGAGCGCUGGCGGCGUGCCUAAUACAUGCAAGUCGAGCGAAUGGAUUAAGAGCUUGCUCUUAUGAAGUUAGCGGCGGACGGGUGAGUAACACGUGGGUAACCUGCCCAUAAGACUGGGAUAACUCCGGGAAACCGGGGCUAAUACCGGAUAACAUUUUGAACCGCAUGGUUCGAAAUUGAAAGGCGGCUUCGGCUGUCACUUAUGGAUGGACCCGCGUCGCAUUAGCUAGUUGGUGAGGUAACGGCUCACCAAGGCAACGAUGCGUAGCCGACCUGAGAGGGUGAUCGGCCACACUGGGACUGGAACACGGCCCAGACUCCUACGGGAGGCAGCAGUAGGGAAUCUUCCGCAAUGGACGAAAGUCUGACGGAGCAACGCCGCGUGAGUGAUGAAGGCUUUCGGGUCGUAGAACUCUGUUGUUAGGGAAGAACAAGUGCUAGUUGAAUAAGCUGGCACCUUGACGGUACCUAACCAGAAAGCCACGGCUAACUACGUGCCAGCAGCCGCGGUAA
rnacentral:rRNA from 1 species